AUUGAACGCUGGCGGCAGGCCUAACACAUGCAAGUCGAGCGAGCGGCGGACGGGUGAGUAAUGUAUGGGGACUGCCCGAUAGAGGGGGAUAACUACUGGAAACGGUGGCUAAUACCGCAUACUAUCGGAUAACCCAUAGGGGAUUAGCUAGUUGGUGGGGUAAAGGCUCACCUAGGCGACGAUCUCUAGCUGGUCUGAGAGGAUGAUCAGGCUCACUGGGACUGAGACACGGCCCAGACGCCUACGGAGGCACCAGUGGGAGAUAUUGCAGAAAGGGCGCAAGCCGGAUGCAGCCAUGCCGCGUGUGUGAAGUAGGCCUUAGGGUUGUAAAGUACUUACAGCGGGGAGGCGUUACCCGCAGAAGAAGCACCGGCUAACUCCGUGCCAGCAGCCGCGGUAAUAC
rnacentral:rRNA from 1 species